AGUGAACGCUGGCGGUAGGCCUAACACAUGCAAGUCGAACGGCAGCACAGAGGAGCUUGCUCCUUGGGUGGCGAGUGGCGGACGGGCGAGGAAUACAUCGGAAUCCACUCUGUCGUGGGGGAUAACGUAGGGAAACUUACGCUAAUACCGCAUACGACCUACGGGUGAAAGCAGGGGACCUUCGGGCCUUGCGCGAUUGAAUGAGCCGAUGUCGGAUUAGCUAGUUGGCGGGGUAAAGGCCCACCAAGGCGACGAUCCGUAGCUGGUCUGAGAGGAUGAUCAGCCACACUGGAACUGAGACACGGUCCAGACUCCUACGGGAGGCAGCAGUGGGGAAUAUUGGACAAUGGGCGCAAGCCUGAUCCAGCCAUACCGCGUGGGUGAAGAAGGCCUUCGGGUUGUAAAGCCCUUUUGUCGGGAAAGAAAUCCAGCUGGCUAAUACCCGGUUGGGAUGACGGUACCCAAAGAAUAAGCACCGGCUAACUUCGUGCCAGCCGCCGCGGUAA
rnacentral:rRNA from 1 species